GGCCCAGGAGUGAUAAGCGUGAACUAGAGAGUGCUGUGCAGGAGGAAGCUGGGGCCGCCGUCGGGCCUUCUCCCUCCAGGGGCCCAAGAGCCACUGGUACUCAGUGUCUGGGUGGGGGCAGGGGGGAUUUUUGUUCUCCCAGCACCUGCGGCUGUUGAGACCAGAGAAGCUGGUGGUCGACCACAGCCUGGGGUAUUAGUUCACCCCUAGCUUCUCCCCAGCGAGACCCCAGGGCCCUUGGGCACAGGGGAUUAAGCCUCUAUCUGCUUACGUGCAAGCGGAAGAAAUAGGCCCAGAGAGCAACAGUGGCGGGUCUGCAGUCACACAGCCAACUUGCGCUUGUGGCAGUGGCAAGGUUGGUGAGUAUCUGAGUCUUCAGGCCACGGCAUUUUCCGCUCGAGUGGAGCCUGAAGUUCUGAGGGUACCCCUCACUCAAGCUCCAGGCGUCAGGAAAAGAACAUUCCACGAAGUCCAUCUGGAAGACGGUCCUUUCCCUGCUGCCCCCAGAAAGAAUACACAGAAUGGUUCCUUCCCCACCUAUUAUCCUUGGGAAAAGAAGUGUCAUUUUACAUUAGAGUCCUCCCAGAACAGCGCCUGCCGCCUUGAUGAUGACGACGAUUGUUAAUUCUGAGAUGGAGUCUUGAUCUAUCACCUAUGCUGGAGUGCAGUGGCACCAUCUUGGCUCACUGCA
rnacentral:lncRNA from 1 species